GCCUAAUAUAGUGUAUAAGAGGACAGGCUGGGCCUAAUAUAGUAUAUAAGAGGACAGGCUGGGCCUAAUAUAGUAUAUAAGAGGUCAGGCUGGGCCUAAUAUAGUGUAUAAGAGGACAGGCUGGGCCUAAUAUAGUGUAUAAGAGGACAGGCUGGGCCUAAUAUAGUGUAUAAGAGGACAGGCUGGGCCUAAUAUAGUGUAUAAGAGGACAGGCUGGGCCUAAUAUAGUGUAUAAGAGGAAAGGCUGGGCCUAAUAUAGUGUAUAAGAGGAGAGGCUGGGCCUAAUAUAGUGUAUAAGAGGUCAGGCUGGGCCUAAUAUAGUGUAUAAGAGGUCAGGCUGGGCCUAAUAUAGUGUAUAAGAGGUCAGGCUGGGCCUAAUAUAGUGUAUAAGAGGUCAGGCUGGGCCUAAUAUAGUGUAUAAGAGGUCAGGCUGGG